rnacentral:rRNA from 1 species
UACGUAGGGUGCAAGCGUUAAUCGGAAUUACUGGGCGUAAAGCGUGCGCAGGCGGUUGUGCAAGACCGAUGUGAAAUCCCCGGGCUUAACCUGGGAAUGGCAUUGGUGACUGCACGGCUAGAGUGUGUCAGAGGGGGGGUAGAAUUCCACGUGUAGCAGUGAAAAUGCGUAGAGAUGUGGAGGAACACCGAUGGCGAAGGCAGCCCUUCUGGGCCAACACUGACGCUCAUGCACGAAAGCGUGGGGAGCAAACAGG